ACAGAAGAAUUUCACCAAGUAUAGGGUAGCCCGCGUAUACAGGUUAUUCCAACAGAAUAAUAAAGAAUGGAAUAACAGAAGUUCUCUUCAUGAAUACAAAAGAAAUAAUACCCCUUACCUUAAAAGAAACUGGAUAUAAGAGUAGGGAAGUAGCAGAAUACUUUUCUAUAGUUUCUCUAUAAUUUCUCUCUCUAGAGUUUCAGUGAAUUCGUAAGAAAUAAUGAAGGAAUGAGCUUCUAUUUAUAGAAGAAUGGACUGAAUAGUAACUAAUUCAUGAACGGUCCAGAUUGAUUUACUUUUAAACGGACGGUCCAUAUUGAUUUACUAUGCAGUAUUAAUAAAAUAUUCUAAUAAAACAAAAUCUUUUAAAUAAAAUAUAAUAUAUUCUAUUUAUAAUCUAAUAAAACGAAUAACUUUAUAAAAGUAUUCUGUUUUAUAUAAAAAGAUUUUACUAUGCAAAAACUAUGCAGGCACUAUGCAAACACUAUGCAUAAUAAAAUAUAAUAUAUUCUAAUUAUUGUCUAAUAAAACAAAUAACUUUAUAAAAGUAUUCUGUUUUAUAUAAAAAGAUUUUACUAUGCAAAACACUAUGCAUAAUAGAAUAUAAUAUAUUCUAUUUAUAGUCUAAUAAAACGAAUAACUUUAUAAAAGUAUUCUGUUUUAUAUAAAAAGCUUUUCUGUUUUAUUACAUUAAUAAUACUAAUAAAACAAAACUUCAUCAUCAUUAUUAUAAUUCACACUAUUAAUCGACCAGGUCGUUCCCAGGAAAGAGGGGGCUUUCCAAUAAGGAUUUCUCCCUAUUGGCGCGCAAUUAGGUGACCAAACCUCUCCUUGGCAGAACUUCUAGACAUCGUUAAUAUUGCAAAUAAUAAUAUUAAUAACUUUGUCAUCUCAAUUAUUGAUUUAAUAAUAUAUAAAAUAUCGACAAUAAUUGAAUCAAAUAACGUGAGAUACUAUGCAACAAUUACUGUAGCAAUAAUUGAACAAAACUGAGUGACUUCUCACGUAAGCAUCAAUAAUCAAUACCGUGUGCUACUAUGCAACCACGCGUAUUACUGUACUUUUACUACCGAGUAGUUCAACAGUUUUAACGGUAAAACUUCCGCCGUUAUUUUCAUAAAAAUAUUUUUGUCGUUUUCUCAAUCCGACAAUAAUUCCGUUGUGGGGUCCACCAAUGAUUGUGCCGUCGUACGAAUAUUCCCUGUUAAAACGAUUAUUCCCCGACCAAUCGAAUAUUAUAUAACAACUUGCAUACUUUGUAAAAUUUAUAAAUAUUACCCACAACUAUAACAUUAUAUCAAAUUCAUUCCAUAAUAUUCAAAAAAAUAUUUUGAGAAAUUUAAAUCUUUAUUCAUAAAAUUUGGGGUCUCACAAUCUCCCCUCCUUAUGAAAUUUCGCCGUCGAAAUUUAUGUACGUACUUGGUAUGUCGAACAGAUGAGGAUACCUUGACUUCAUUUCAGAUUCUAACUCUUGAGGUAAAACCUUUGAGUGUUGAAUACGAUCCUUCUUAUUCAAGAUUUUAACACGUAUUUUCUCAUACGUUAAAUCUUUCGCUAUCUCGUUCGGUUCUAAAUCAAUAAUGUGGUUCGGGUCAUCCACAUUUUUACGUAACAUCGAUACGUGAAAAACGUUAUGAACACGCGACAUACUUGGCAGUAAAACGAGUCUAUAGGCCAUAGUUCCUACUCGAUCGAGGAUUUCAAAUGGGCCAAUAAAAUCGAGGGCUGAGAUUUUCUCUCUUCAUCGAUUCUUGCUUCUAGAAUAACGCCCUCUUGAACCUUCUUCUUCACAUUCAUCAGCUCUGAGUAUGUAGCUUGAGUGGCUUUAACUUUAUCGAUUAAAGUCGAUUCUACUCGUAUAUUCGUUAUCUUCACGUGGGUCCUAGAGUCUUUAACUCUAUCUUCAUCAUUUGUAAGUUAUAUGAAAUGAGUUUUUGUGUUGAUCUUCUACCCAAAGCGUCAGCUACCACGUUCGCUCUUCCACGAUGAUAUUGAAGGGUAUGAUCGUAAUCUUCAACAGCUCGAGCAAACGUCUUUGGCGCAUGUUACGUUCAUUUUGGUUGAAGAAAUAUUGGAGGUUUUAAGAAAUGGGUUUUGUACUAAGGUCAAUACAAAAUUCAAUUUCACGCUCUAGGGGUAGGCUAGGAAGUCUUCAGAGAAUACGUCAGGAAAUUUAUUAAUAAUAGAAAUGUCAUUCAAAAAUGUGACUCUCGUCCAAGACUUAGAUAGCACAUCACAUUGAUACCUAUCAACUUGCCACCGUUAUUCACGACGUCCCCUAAGGAUAUUCUGGCUUCGGUGUAUUCCAAGACUUAGAAGUCACCAGCGAAAGGUUCGGGGCUCUUUACUUAUGGCUUGAUAUGACAAUGAUUGACUUUAGUGGUUUGGUUGCUUGAAUUCGUAUAACAGGUUGGUUAGGAAUAUAAAAGCUAACAAUCUCACGAAAAUAAUCAAUUUUAGCAUGAUGAGUAGUUAAUCAAUCGAUUCCUCAAAUCACAUCAAAGGCAAGUAUUUUCAAAGAGAUAAGAUCGACAGGUAAGGUGAAAGUGUCGAUUUGAAUCAACAAGAUUUAUAAACAUUGGAGGUAACGAAGGUUUCUACUAAUGAAGUUUUAACUAAUAAGUCAAAGUCUAACUUCUCUGGGGUCAAAUUUAAACGUUGAGCGCAAGCAAGAGAGAUAAAAGAAUGGGUAGAACUGGUAUCUAAUAAGGUAUAGACUUCGUAAAAAUUUAUAAUUAACUAACCCGUGCUAACUUCGUUCGGGUUACUUGCUUUUUGAGAAGACAUGAAAAACGCUCUCCCUGAAACCACUGACUUUGUUUUGUCCGUAUCCGCCUUUGGUGCCACCGUCCCAGCUGGACUUGACUUCACUAUAUGACAAAAUCAAGCUAAAUGACCUUCUCUUCUUGAAAUUUCCACUUCUAUUAUCUUGGCCAUGAUUACCACCGAAGUGGUUACCAUUCUUGACAUGAUAAUUUCACCCAUGAUGGUCAUCAUUGUUCCGAUGGCCGUUGCCACCGGUACAAUUAUUAUCGUGUUGUUGGUCAUUACCUUUUGGUUGUGCUAACUCAUUAUCGCGCUCCAACAACAUCUGAAUAUAAACAAAGUUUAUGAGAAAUGAGGUAUUGACGUAUAUCGGGUUUCAAACCUCUUAGAAACAUUCACGUCAUUCGCUCCUCAUUAUCGACCAAAUGGGAUGCAAACCGGGAUAACUCCGCAAACUUAGCCUCGUACUGCGAUACAGUCAUAUUAUUUUGCUCCAUGGCUUAUUUCAACAUUUCAGAUGCCAUUUUCAAACACUGUCACAAAACAAGUGUUAAUUAACAUAUCACAUAUUAUCUCUAUACUCUGACCGACCAAUUAAAUACCAAAUAAACUUAGGUAGGUCAUACUAGCGAAGGAAUUCCCCGUCUCUUCCCUCCUAGUUCUUGUCUCAUAUCUAAGCCAGGGAUCAUAUCCCUAAGCUUUGAUACCAACAGUCACGCCCCCAAAAUAGGUAUACAUCACUUAUUCUGAGUCGUCAUAAACAUGGUACAGGAUAUAAAUACAACUUAAUAAUACAACAAUCUUGUAAAAUAUGACAAAACAUAAAUUGAGAGUUUUAAAAAGAAUAUUGUCAUCUAGAAAAUAUCCACGCUUAAAGGAGUCCUCAUUACAUUUAUUGUCACACUAUUUACCAGAAUAGUGAAGACUACUAAUACUAUCAUCUGGACCAUCACUCUGUUCCCCGACUAGUCCCGGCUACGUUCUCAUUUCCUGAAGAGAAUAGUGAAAGAAAGGGGUGAGCUCAACUAGUCCAAUAAGAAAUAUUAUGACUAAAAUAAUGUAGAAUAAAUUAUCAUUAGUCUUCAACAAUGUUAAACUGAUAAAAUAUAACAAACAUCAAGUUUAACUGCAGCGGUACAAGCAAUCCAUUAAAAGAGUCAAGUAGAGAAUAAAAUCUACUAUCUUUUAUGAUUUAAAAAGGUUUUUCAUCACUUUUAUCGAUGAGACUCAGCUUAAUAAAUAAUGCACGUCAUCCAUGCACUGCGACCAAGGAUAUUCAUUAGUAUCACAACCACAAAUUAUCCAUGCACUACGGGCCAAGGAUAUUCAUGUAUUCAUCAAUGGUUAUGAUCAUGCCAACAACUGUCCAUCAAUGCACUACGGGCCAAUGAGGACUUGUACCACAUCAUUUGUAACAUUAUGGUCAUGAUUAUACCGAAUAAUCCCUAGUCAUAAUCAUACCAAAUCCAUCUAUGCACAAUAAGCCACAUAUGACUUUCAACAUAAUAUAAGCAUGAGUAUGAUGACAAUGAUAUAAGAAUCCAAUAAAACAAGCUCAAGAAUUAAUUUAUCCAGAAUUCAAUAACGUCCAAAUUGUCAACAUGAUACUGCUUUGUAGAGUAAAAUUCAAGAAUGCUCAGAAGAAUAUUUCCAUGAAAAGAUACUGGAUGAAUCGCAAAUAUCAAGGAUAUUCCACUAAUAUCAUGGAGUAUAGAAGUCAAAACUUUAACCAACUGAGUAUAAUAGAAUAUAUGAAACUGCAAAUGGAUUUUCGCACGCCAUGCGGUAAUCCACGUAUAAAGAUCAUUUCCACAAUUUAAUAAGGAAUGAAUACAAAGGAUCAUUCACCAUGCAUGUGGUAAUCCUAACAGAAUAAUAAAGAAUGGAAUAACAAAAGGAUUCACCAUGUGUGUGAUAGACUGCAUAGACAGGUUAUUCCUAACAGAAUAAUAAAGAAUGGAACCAGGUCAUGCGUAAACGCACAGACAAGAUAUUCCAACAGAAUAAUAAAGAACGGAACCAGGUCAGGCGAAAUUCGCACUGAUAGGAUAUUCCAAUAGAAUAAUAAAGAAUGGAAUAACAACAGAAAUCACCAUGCAUGCGAUAGACCGCACAGACAGGUUAUUCCAACAAAAUAAUAAUUAAUGGAACAAGGUUAGGCGUAAUACGCACCGACAGGAUAUUCCAACAGAAUAAUAAAGAAUGGAAUAACAGAAGAAUUUCACCAUGUAUGCGGUACUUCGCAUAUACAUGUUAUUCCAACAUAAUAAUAAAGAAUGGAAUAACAUAAGAAUUUCACCAAGUAUAGGGUAUCCCGCGUAUACAGGUUAUUCCAACAAAAUAAUAAAGAAUGGAAUAACAUAAGUUCUCUUCAUGAAUACGAAAGAAAUAAUACCCCUUACCUUAGAAGAACUGGAUAUUGGAAAAGUGAGGUAGCAGAAUACUUUUCUUCUUUCUCUCUAUAGUUUCUCUCUCUAGAGUUUUAGUGAAUUCGUAAGAAAUAAUGAAGGAAUGAGCUUCUAUUUAUAGGAGAAUGGACUGAAUAGUAACUAAUUCAUGAAC
rnacentral:lncRNA from 1 species